ACAGCGUCCUUGUCACAGUAUUGUCUCUCCUCUCUUUUUCCCUCUCCUCCUCCUCUUUUUCACUUGUUUUUUCUGUAUGUUCUGCUCAAGCAUUGAUUCUACUGCCUCUUUUCCCUUCUUCAACUACACCCUGCAUCUGUCCCGAGACACUGAGACACACAGGGUACGGUAGCUGGCAACGUGUGCUCUGAGAAGAGACACACCCUGAACAGUGGAAGAAAGAGUGUUGUGCAGGUACUGAGAGCUGUUAGCUCGGUCCAGAGCGACAGAGACAGAAAGACAAACAGACAGACCGGAAUUGAGCCGAGCCGGGCUGAGCUGGACUGGGAUACUCUGGACUCUCCCAGAGCUCUCUUCAGCGACGGGCACAGGUAAACACACACCUUCAUGGUUCUCCCCUGUGUUCCAACCCCCUCAGAGUUCCAGAAUGGGUCUGUUUAUGGUAGCCUGGAGAGACUCAAAUAAAGAAAACAACUACUACUUCAGGGUUAUUGACAUAUUCCUAAAAGGUUGUGACUGGCAGCCUGGAUCAAUCUGCUGCACUUUAUUUUAGUAUUCCAAGACAGCCUGAGGGAGAGAUGAACUUCUGAGGAGAAAAAGAGCCAGAGAAAGAGUGUGUGUGUUUAUAAAGGUAUGAUGUGUUUAUAAAGGUAUGAUGUGUUUUAUAAAGGUAUGAUGUGUUUAUAAAGGUAUGAUGUGUUUAUAAAGGUAUGAUGUGUUUAUAAAGGUAUGAUGUGUUUAUAAAGGUAUGAUGUGUUUUAUAAAGGUAUGAUGUGUUUUAUAAAGGUAUGAUGUGUUUAUAAAGGUAUGAUGUGUUUAUACAGGUAUGAUGUGUUUUAUAAAGGUAUGAUGUGUUUAUAAAGGUAUGAUGUGUUUAUACAGGUAUGAUGUGUUUUAUAAAGGUAUGAUGUGUUUAUAAAGGUAUGAUGUGUUUUAUAAAGGUAUGAUGUGUUUAUAAAGGUAUGAUGUGUUUUAUAAAGGUAUGAUGUGUUUUAUAAAGGUAUGAUGUGUUUAUAAAGGUAUGAUGUGUUUAUACAGGUAUGAUGUGUUUUAUAAAGGUAUGAUGUGUUUUAUAAAGGUAUGAUGUGUUUAUAAAGGUAUGAUGUGUUUAUAAAGGUAUGAUGUGUUUUAUAAAGGUAUGAUGUGUUUAUAAAGGUAUGAUGUGUUUAUAAAGGUAUGAUGUGUUUUAUAAAGGUAUGAUGUGUUUUAUACAGGUAUGAUGUGUUUUAUACAGGUAUGAUGUGUUUUAUACAGGUAUGAUGUGUUUGUAAAGGUAUGAUGUGUUUAUACAGGUAUGAUGUGUUUAUAAAGGUAUGAUGUGUUUAUAAAGGUAUGAUGUGUUUAUACAGGUAUGAUGUGUCUAUACAGGUAUGAUGUGUUUAUAAAGGUAUGAUGUGUUUAUAAAGGUAUGAUGUGUUUAUAAAGGUAUGAUGUGUUUUAUAAAGGUAUGAUGUGUUUUAUAAAGGUAUGAUGUAUUUAUAAAGGUAUGAUGUAUUUAUAAAGGUAUGAUGUGUUUAUAAAGGUAUGAUGUGUUUAUAAAGGUAUGAUGUGUUUAUAAAGGUAUGAUGUGUUUAUAAAGGUAUGAUGUGUUUAUAAAGGUAUGAUGUGUUUAAUAAAGGUAUGAUGUGUUUAAUACGGGUAUGAUGUGUUUAUACAGGUAUGAUGUGUUUUAUAAAGGUAUGAUGUGUUCAUAAAGGUAUGAUGUGUUUAUAAAGGUAUUAUGUGUUUAUACAGGUAUGAUGUGUUUAUAAAGGUAUGAUGUGUUUAUACAGGUAUGAUGUGUUAAUAAAGGUAUGAUGUGUUUAUAAAGGUAUGAUGUGUUUAUAAAGGUAUGAUGUGUUUUAUAAAGGUAUGAUGUGUUUUAUAAAGGUAUGAUGUAUUUAUAAAGGUAUGAUGUAUUUAUAAAGGUAUGAUGUGUUUAUAAAGGUAUGAUGUGUUUAUAAAGGUAUGAUGUGUUUAUAAAGGUAUGAUGUGUUUAUAAAGGUAUGAUGUGUUUAUAAAGGUAUGAUGUGUUUAAUAAAGGUAUGAUGUGUUUAA